rnacentral:ncRNA from 1 species
CCUGUGGAGUGUUACACCAAACGCAAGUAGCUCGGCAAAAGCGGACACGUUGAAGCAGGAA